rnacentral:rRNA from 1 species
GAUGAACGCUGGCGGCGUGCCUAAUACAUGCAAGUCGAGCGAACAGACGAGGAGCUUGCUCCUCUGACGUUAGCGGCGGACGGGUGAGUAACACGUGGAUAACCUACCUAUAAGACUGGGAUAACUUCGGGAAACCGGAGCUAAUACCGGAUAAUAUAUUGAACCGCAUGGUUCAAUAGUGAAAGACGGUUUUGCUGUCACUUAUAGAUGGAUCCGCGCCGCAUUAGCUAGUUGGUAAGGUAACGGCUUACCAAGGCGACGAUGCGUAGCCGACCUGAGAGGGUGAUCGGCCACACUAGAACUGAGACACGGUCCAGACUCCUACGGGAGGCAGCAGUAGGGAAUCUUCCGCAAUGGGCGAAAGCCUGACGGAGCAACGCCGCGUGAGUGAUGAAGGUCUUCGGAUCGUAAAACUCUGUUAUUAGGGAAGAACAAAUGUGUAAGUAACUAUGCACGUCUUGACGGUACCUAAUCAGAAAGCCACGGCUAACUACGUG